GAAUCCAAGCCCGACGAACAUCUUCAAUUACGGGGUUUGUAUAGGGGCAAGAUUCUGCCGAGUACUUGCACUACUAGACGAAAAGCGAGACAGCGUGUGAUCAGAGAGAGAUGGCGUGGUGUGCGGCGAGGUCAAUGCACGUACCGAUGAUCGAAGUGGGCGCACUGCGCAAACAGGCUCAUUUCGCCGGCGGCAUAGGCUUUGUCUCCGUCGCAGGCACCACCCUGGGGCGCUCUUCAUGUUCUUCUUCCAAGCGAUCCGUGCACCCCUUUGCUUGCUUGGGCCUUUCCACUGAUUCUCGAAGCUGUCCAAACAGAAAGGCUCCGGCAGCCUUGGGACCAUAUUCUCAGGCCAUCAAAGCCAACAACUCUCUCUUUGUGUCUGGUGUUCUGGGACUUGUUCCAGAGACUGGGAAGUUCAUCUCGAUAUGAUAGGGAUAUAUGUUGAAUCUUUGAGCAUUAGCUUGCAUAGAUUGAUAUUUAUUUCCUAAAGAGAACCAUCGGUGGGCAUGAAAGAACCAUUAUCGCAUCACGCAGUGUUUGGGAUAGCUCACGUGGCUUGAGCAAUUGUCUCUGAUGAAUGUUCUCAAAAACAUGGGGGAAAUCUUGAAAGCUGGUGGUGCAAGCUAUGCCUCAGUAGUUAAGACAACAAUUAUGUUAGCAGACUUGAAUGAUUUCAAGAAAGUGAAUGAGAUUUAUGCUAAAUACUUUCCUUCGCCUGCCCCAGCUCGUUCAACCUUUGAAGUUGCUGCAUUACCAUUGGGUGCCAAAAUUGAAAUCGAGUGCAUUGCUGCAACAUAAACUCCUUUGGCGAAUGGCAUCCGCUUCUUCAGGCAGCUUGGAUUAAGACGGGAGGGGUAUGAUCAUGAUUAGGAGUUCUAACUUUGUCUCCGCGUGGACAUAGUUGUUAUUUUGAGAAUGUCAUCUUGAUGAAACUUGUAAGGAUGUCUAACGCAGUGUUCAACUAAAUGGUGAGUGCAUUUGGUUCA